rnacentral:tRNA from 1 species
UCCCCGGUAGCUCAGUCGGUAGAGCAUGUGGCUGUUAACCACAGUGUCGGCGGUUCGAGCCCGUCCCGGGGAGCCA